UACGUAGGGUGCAAGCGUUGUCCGGAAUUAUUGGGCGUAAAGAGCUCGUAGGCGGUUCGUCGCGUCGGCUGUGAAAGCCCGGGGCUUAACCCCGGGUCUGCAUUCGAUACGGGCUAGCUAGAGUGUGGUAGGGGAGAUCGGAAUUCCUGGUGUAGCGGUGAAAUGCGCAGAUAUCAGGAGGAACACCGGUGGCGAAGGCGGAUCUCUGGGCCAUUACUGACGCUGAGGAGCGAAAGCGUGGGGAGCGAACAGG
rnacentral:rRNA from 1 species